rnacentral:rRNA from 1 species
UACGGGGGGGGCAAGCGUUGUUCGGAAUUACUGGGCGUAAAGGGCUCGUAGGCGGCCAACUAAGUCGGAUGUGAAAUCCCCGGGCUCAACCUGGGAACUGCAUUCGAGACUGCCUUGCUCGAGUAUGGGAGAGGGAAGUGGAAUUUCCGGUGUAGCGGUGAAAUGCGUAGAUAUCGGAAGGAACAUCAGUGGCGAAGGCGACUUCCUGGACCAAUACUGACACUCAGGUGCGAAAGCGUGGGGAGCAAACAGG